ensembl:lncRNA
GGAUGGUGGAGAGCAGCAGAGUAGCGAGGGCGUAGAUGGUGGUGCCACUCUGCACUCCCGUGCAUUUGCUUUAAAACUGAUAUCUGGCAAAAGCCAGAUUCUUUUCAAACCUGCAGCACGUCUUGAAAAAAUGUCACAGAGCAGCUGGUGUUUCCCAGUCCGCUCCACGGGGCUCUGCGUCGAGGACGGCGAGAAAACGGAGGAGGGAACACAUUUGGCUGGAGCUCCUGAUCGUCCUGUGACUGCGGCCUCAUCAGAUCGUUAUCAGCGGAGCAACUAAAGAGAAUGGACUCUUUUGUCAACAGGCAGGAAAAAGGUCAUGUAGGGGUCUCCUCUGGCCAGACCUGCUUCCUGUCUCUAUCACCGAGGAAAAGGAAAAAGGUCCUCUGGUGCCUUUGUCCCAUUGGCCAAGGUCCCGCCGGGCGCUGGCGGCAACCGAUGACAUCACUGUAUGAAACACGACGGGGGAGGGCGCGGUGCUGUCUCUUGUCACCCUGGCAACAGGGAGGGGGUCACAUGGGCGGCCAGCUGUCUGUUUGCGUGUUUGUUGGAGGGCGUACCGGGACACCUGGGGCCUCAACUCGUGCUGUAAGGUCAGAGAGGGUUGCACUGCUGGUGGCUGGAGGGUUCACACACACACACACACACACACACACACACGCACACGCACACGCACACGCACACGCGCACGCACGCACUCACACACACGCACGCACACACCAUCAGUUGCCUCAAGACAGAAUUAGCCCGCGUCACUGUCAAACAGAAUGGAUUAGAUUACUUCAAAUGCUAAAUGGUGUGUAUGUUAGCAAUUGUGCUGCCAGCUAAUCCAUUAAAGAGACCACACUGGUCCCAGUAGUACCAGCACCAAUCCCCCCACAGUCUCAGCUGGACCAUUGGCUAAGUGGAUGGAGCAGCAUCAUUUACUUCAUUUAUUUAUAUGACAUUGUGGACUGUGUGAUGUUUUUAAAAAUAAUUCAACAUCAGGGGUACCACUUGUAUCGCCUGUGCUGUUCCUCUGUUAGUCCACUUUUCUCCUCUGUCUGUCCUCACAUGACCUUGACUGUACAGGUUGUAUUGUAUCAUGUGAGUAUCAUUUACAUCUAAAUUAGCAUUAGUUAAAGGUAUUGACUUCCCUGACUGAAUUAAAUCAACCCCAUUGAUCCAAACUGAGCCAACAACAGAUUCAAUUGGGCGGGAAUAAUCUGAUACCAUUCAAAGUCCAGACAAAAGAAAAUACCCUCUGAUGGAUUAUGGUGCCAAUUUGCUUGAAUGAUUUGAAUGUGAACGCUAUUGCCGGUUUGAAUUAGUUCCGGCUAAUUUAUCCACAAAAAAAAGCAAUGCAACCUUUCUCACAGAGACAACGGAGCUGAAAUAAACCUGACAUCUACAUUUAAUUUCUAGCUGUUGUAACGACGGAAUUCAAUUUCUUGAAAGGAACAUGAAUCCUUUCAGUCUUUGAUAGAGAACUUGUGUAAACUAAGCUGAUUAUUGGUUAAGUGUUUUUAGGGUGAAUCGAGAAAGAGGAUUGUAGAAAGGGGUAUUAGGGUUCGAGAGUUGUUUUUCAACGCGGGCAUUAAAAAUGGUUUUAAUCUCAUUGUUAUGAGACGUCGUGGCUUUAAGGCAUCAGUUUUUCUCCGUGGUUUUCGGGGGUGUCACUACUUUUGUGAGUCCGCUCCCGUCUGGACUUUGUCUCAAUAUGUUUACCGUAUUUGUGUCAAAUGCACUAAUACUUUAAUCCAAUUGUUAUGUGUUCGAUGUUGUUUUGGACAGAGCUUUGUGCGUUCCUCACAGUUGUAAGUGGUAAACAGAUUCAAUCUUUGCAGGCUCUUAAGGGACAUAUCAUCCAUCAUACAAUCUGGUAAGGCUCAGUUUGGAGAAUUUGUCAUUUUAAUUUCCUCUUCACACACACACACACACAGACACACACACACACAUGCAGAGCACCAUUAAACAGACAUUAGAACACAAGUCCAUUCCAACUCACAUCAUCAUCGACAUCAUCAUCACUCACCGUGUUUUACUCAUCAGCCUGGUCAUUUAAUUAGUUUUCCAUACAAACAAAAUAUACUAUAUUAAUAUUUAUCCCGUUUUGAUGAAAACACGUAAUACUGGAGAUUAUUUAAAUGUUAUAUGUUAUACCUGGAUUUGUGUGACAUCAGAAUCACCAUCUUGAAUAUAUGAAUAGUAGUAAUGCCUUUUAAGAACCUGAAGAAACAGUAGUUCAACGUGAACAAUGGGUAAAAUGCAUCACCAGAAGCGGCUCACUUGGACCUCCUCCUAAUUAAGCGAACUCAUCCCAACCUUCAAGCGGUCAACCCACAAAGACUGAGGAACGAGGUAUGUGUCCAAGACGGAGCAGAACAGGUUUGUGCAGUAAAAAGCUGAAUAACAUACUUUUUUCUGGAGGGUGGUCUUCUUUUCAGACCUUUCUGUAUUUCUGUAAACUAACACAUCUUGUUGUCACCUAAACCUUAAGAGAGUAAAUCAGUACUGUUGUUAAUUUAUAUUAAAAAAAAGUUCACAAAUGCUCAGUCUCUGAUGUUUGCUGCUCUUAAAAUAGAUGCAGCCACAUUUUCUUUAUUCUUUAUGUACACGUGUAUACAGUAUAUCUAUCUUUUGUGUGUCAAAAUCAACAGAUGCUUGAAAUACAAACGGUCCCAUCUGCAGGGAACCUUCAUCGUCACCAUGGUCGCCGUAGUUCUGACAGCUUGAGCAGCCACCGUGGUCCCUGUUGACGAGCCGCUGUCCUCCACCCACCAACACGAGGACGAGCGUCUUGUUGAUUGCUGAUUGAAGUGGUGUUUGCGACUCUGCAGUCGAACACACACUUCAAUCACGCUGGUACAUAAUUAAUCUCCAGUGUGUCCAAGAUUCUGGUCCCUUCCAACAAGGAAACCAGGUAACAGGUUGUCAGCGUGCACACAAAUUAGGAGACAAAAAAACAAAGAAAAGUGUGUUCUGACAACAAAGAAGUGGCCCCAGGAUGCGCCUGGAAGAGCGACCCGUUGUUGACAGUGUUUCACGAUGCAUCGGCCACCCAGGAGGCCGGAUCGAUCUCCCAGAGGUCUUGUGCUCUAAAUGAUCGUCCUUUGUAUCGGUUUGACAGCACAGGUAUUCAUUUGUUGUCUGUUUUCUUUUAAAUACUAUCAUUUUAGCAUUUCUGUGCAGUGUGUGGCUGAUAUUGAUUGAAUGCAAUCUUACACAUACUGUCAAUACUUACUUGCCCUCCAUUAGCAGGAACGGAUAGAUCAGAUGCAUAUUGAUUACAGUGUGCAGAUAGUGCUUGUAUUGUGUGCAAUCAGAUGCCUCUCCAAAUUCAUAAUAUGCUCUUAUAGAUUAUUUAAACUACUCUCUGGAGAAAAACGAGGGCAGACCUCAUAACAGACAAUGUCUUUUUUUCGUAGUAGUAAUUAAACUCAAAAGGAUCGUUACGAUUGUGACGCUGCCACAAAUUGUACUAUUUAAACGAGUUACUUCGAAAAGUGUACUUUAAUAAAUGGAAACAGCUGCUUAGAACAGCAGUUUAGCUGAAUGGACCUCACCUGUAUGCCUAGUUGUUGGUUUGUACAUGUACAUGUACAAUGCACAUACGCACACUUCCCUUCCUCCUCCACCCCUCUAAAUGUCAGAAAGCAUUGAUUGUGAGAUUGUGAGCAGGAGCCCACAGGCAAUUUCAGGUUGUGUUUGUGUCUUUACAAAGAUAUAGAAACAAACUGACAGUGUAUUUAAAGGUCAAACCUGAGUACUAAAGGGACUCAGUGUGUGUGUGUGUGUGUGUGUGUGUGUGUGUGUGUGUGUGUGUGUGUGGCAGAGGGGGACACAAAGACAUUUCUAAAGCAAAAGAAAGUAGGAUGGAAUCACUGUGUUUCUAUGUAGAACAUUGCAGGGACUGAAAAGAAAGCAAAGAUCUAUCGUAAUAGUAACUUUCUAAAGGAAAAUCCAUGUAUAGAUAUAUCAUUUGAUCUGGUUUCUCUUCAUGUACAAGCAGCUCGCGGAGAGAAACAAAAAAAAAGUUAGUUUCCGGC